CCCACUUCACUAACUUUGAAUUUCCUUUACAGAUGAUACCAAGAUAGCGCUCCACCUGAAAGAUAAUGGAGCUUCCACAGAUGACAGUGCAGCCGAGAAGAAAGGUGGAACGCUUCAUGCCGGCUUAAUUGUUGGAAUCCUCAUACUGGUCCUCAUUGUGGCUGCAGCCAUCCUGGUGACUGUCUACAUGUACCACCAUCCAACGUCAGCAGCUAGUCUCUUCUUUAUAGAGCGGCGUCCAAGCAGAUGGCCAGCGAUGAAAUUCAGAAGAGGAUCUGGACAUCCUGCAUAUGCCGAAGUGGAACCAGUGGG